GAACAAAACAUAAAGAAAUCGAGAGAGUGCAAAAUCGAGAGUUUUCAAGUGAAAAGCCCCUGCUCUAAUGGCGACGCGUUCUCAGGCAGCUACCUCCGCCGUUCUCGUGCUGCGACCGCCCUCAGGCCUCCAUCUUUAGGUUUUGGCUAAUUGUUUCAAGGAACUACUACAUGGGUUCUCUUGAAUUUCUCGGAUUAUUACCUAAAAAGGUUUUGGUUUUCUUUCUUUCAAGGCGGCGUUUCUACAAUCAGACUUCCUCCGUGUUUUAGCGGUCAAUUUCUCCUAUCUCCUGUCAUAAUGAUUAUAUGUUAUUAACUGAAAUUUAAGUGCCGCCAUCCACUCUCUGUUACUCCAAUUUGAUCUCAACUUAAAAUUUCUGGUUGGACUGUGAUUAAACUUCUUAAACCAAUCAGUACUUGCCCAAUCGAUGGGCCAACCAGAAUAUGAACUCUCAACUACAUCUAGAAAGGUAUUGUGGUUAUGAAAUAUCUGUUGCAUAUUAUGCCUUUGAAUUGGAGAAUGCCACAGUUAUGUAUCUAUGUUGUUUUCUUCCCUGUCUUGGUUUCUUCCUAGUUCUGUCUUAAUGCAAAGUACAAGGAGAA